rnacentral:lncRNA from 13 species
UAUCAGAUGAUCUGUACUGCAAGGACUUUAGUUAUCUAUAUAACUUAAAGAUUCCCUCAAACAUGUAAUAAAAGCCAGAUGUGUGAAGAUCUUCAAAACCCUAUGCUUGUGAGCUAUGUAUGGAGAAAGUAGAACAGGAGUUUUCUUUUCAAGAGGGAUGGCUGCUUAUCUUUUCUAUUUCCUACCCUGUAGAUAAUUUUACAAUUCAAGAGAAUAAUAAUUUGCAUUGCCUUCCUGUUUCCAUACAUUUGCAGGUGAAGAUAUUUCUGUAGCACCAUUCUCUAAGGGGAACACAUUUGCUCCUGUCAUGAGACAUUUUCCAAGAUUUUUCUGUAAGACCUUUUUCCAAGGUCUCAAGACAAAUGAUUCCAAAUAAGCAGUAACAGGAAGAGUUUGUGGAUUAUGGAUAGAACAGUGUAUGGAGACUCACAUUGUGAGCUUUUGCUCUAAGAGCUACUGUAGGAACAUACCAAGAAAACAGGAAGAAUUCACAGACCCCCUGAAAGAAGCUUCUACAAACUCUGAGAAACAGCUGAAAAAUGCUGAUCCUCUCUUGAAAGCAUCAUCUCCUGGCUGAAGGUCAACCCAAAAAACCAUUACAGCAGCUAAUAAAAGAACAACCCUGACCCA